GCCCCCGUUGAUCAGCGGUAGAUCAUCCUCGCUCAAUUAUAGAGCUGUCUGUAAAUUUCGAGGACGUCGUAGGUUCGAACCCUACCGAGGGCA